rnacentral:ncRNA from 1 species
ACCGUAAGGUUAUGACUGAAGUAAGCCAGACUGCAGUAUCUGUACUGACGAACAGAAACUAGAUACAGAGGCUAUUAGGCCGGAUGAGGUACCACAUGCUGCCGAAGUCCAAAGCCCCAAUUUCGAUUGGGGACGGUGCCGAAAUAGUAGAUCUAGCAGGGAUAGAUACAAGGAUAU